GACGAACGCUGGCGGCGUGCCUAAUACAUGCAAGUCGAACGCAGUGGGGACGGGUGAGUAACACGUGGGUAACCUGCCCAUCAGAGGGGAUAACACUUGGAAACAGGUGCUAAACCGAUAUUGAUGGACGGACCCGCGGUGCAUUCGCUAGUUGGUGAGGUAACGGCUCACAAAGGCCACGAUGCAUAGCCGACGUGAGAGGGGGAGCUGCCCCACUGGGACUGAGACACUGCCCAGACUCCGACGUGAGGCAGAAGUAGGGAAUCUUCGGCAAUGGACUAAAGUCUGACCGAGCAACGCAGCGUGAGUGAAGAAGGUUUGCGGAUCGUAAAACUCUGUUGUUAGAGAAGCGGUAUCUAACCAGAAAGCCACGGCUAACUACGUGCCAGCAGCCGCUGUAAC
rnacentral:rRNA from 1 species